GGGUACAUGAAUUAUUAAACAUUUUCAGGGAGUGAUCCGAACAGUGGGUUCUGUGAGUUAGAAACAGGAAGAGCAGCAGCACCAUAAAGCCCUGUACAGACCAUGGAAGGAGCGUGAGCAAAGGUGGGAACGCAGAGCUGAUGCCGGACAGCCUUCCCAGGUGUUAUGGGAGCAGGAGAUCUUACAAAAAUCUCUUUUGACAACCGCUCAUUGUCCCACUCCUUCCAAGCCCCAGUAAGUACCAACUCCCCUUUGCUGAGAGGGUUCAGCUAAGAUUAAGGGUUUCUCCAACAGGAACAGAGCUUGGUGAACUAAGUCAUUAGUCCUAAAAUAU
rnacentral:lncRNA from 1 species